rnacentral:rRNA from 1 species
GACGAACGCUGGCGGCGUGCUUAACACAUGCAAGUCGAACGGAAAGGCCCUGCUUUUGUGGGGUGCUUGAGAGGCGAACGGGUGAGUAACACGUGAGUAACAUGCCCUUGACUUUGGGAUAACUUCACGAAACUGGGGCUAAUACCGGAUAGGAGCUCCUGCUGCAUGGUGGGGGUUGGAAAGUUUCGGCGGUUGGGGCUGGACUCGAGGGUUAUCGGCUUGUUGGUGGGGUUGUGGCUUACCAAGUCUUUGACGGGUAGCCUGCAUGAGAGGGUGGCCGGCCACAAGACGACUGAGAUACGGAGCAGUCGGCUACGGGACGCAGCGGGGGGGAAUAUUGCACAGUGGGGGGGAGCCUGAGGUAGCGACGCCGCGAGCGGGAUGAUGUCCUACGGGUGGUGAACCGCUGUCGCAUGUGCCGAAGCGUGAGUGACGGUAAUGGGUAAAGAAGCACCGGCUAACUACGUG